CAGCGAUUCCACCGCCUACUCUGAAACGCUUCUCUGCAACGAUAUGAAACUCUCUCUACUCGGAGUUUCUACAAUGGCCGAAUGCGAGAAUGGCGAUCUCCUCGAACUUUUUCGAGAGCUUCCUUCCCCCGCUGCAAAGGAGUUGUCCAUUGAGGACAUUAAAAUCAUGUUCUUUGAGUUGCAUGGUCACCUGAUGGUAAGCAUCUUGUGAGUGGGGCUUUUGCUGGAGAAAUUUUGAGUUGGGAUCCACGAACAGAAAGCAAUUAGGGAGUACGCUAAUGACAUUGCAAUAUUUACUCCAGGGUCACAAGAUUUAUGUUAAGGCCAUUGCUUGGAAAUCAGUGCACAUAAGUGCUCCAUGUAGAUGCUUUGUAAGUGCUAGUAAAGAUGGUGUUGCAUGCAUAUGGGACAUAUCAUUGAGGAAAUCUCUCAUAUGUCUCUCUGGGCACACUUGUUCUGCCACUUGUGUUAAAUGGAGUGAAGAUGGGGUGAUUUACACUGGUUCUUUGGAAAUGGAUUGUACUGUUAAAGUAUGGGAAACUUCACAGGGCAAGCUGAUUCGUGAAUUAAAGAUAUAAGCACAUGCGGUGGCUUGGAAACUUUUGAUGAUGGUGUCAAAGUUUCUGAUUCUAGUAAUGUUGCAUCAGAUGUAGCAAUCUUUGAGACCUCUCAAGAUAGUCAAAUUUCUGAACACGGCAACAUCUUUCUAGAAAAGGAACUACUUUCUAUUCAUGACCUUGUGAAGGGUCUCAACGAAGGAAGCAAGAAAAUGGAAGGAAAGAAGUUUACCUCGGUCAAAGACGUUGGAUCGUUGACAAUGAAAGAAUGGGAAAUGCUUCUGUUGAGGAAUUAAUUGGUGGCAAGAUUCUUUUCUUCCUGUGUGCCGUGGUGAUAACUACGAGUUUAAUGCCUGCUGGCAGAGAGAAUAUUGAUAAGCAAUACGUUGCACUAGUGUGGAUUUCUCAACUACUCAAAGGAUGAAGUAAUUUAGCUCUUAAUUGGUGAGUAAUUUAGCUUCAUCUGGAUUGGCUCUCAAUUGCUCUAGAGCAGUAAAUAUUGCAAUUUUAUUGAUUUUUUUUUUUUUUUUAUCUUUAUGUUAACUUUAUAUAUUUCCAAUGAAGCCUUGUUUAAGCUUCAUCUAGAGUGGCUCCAUUUUUAUACAUUGCAUUAGAUUAUACAACUAGCAUGCUUUUUCCACUUUUCCUAUAGAAAUUCUCAUACUGAUUAUUGAUUUGAUAAAACUUUGAUAUUUCAAAUUGCUGCACAGUCAAUUUUUGUUUUACUCUAAGCUCCUUGUGAGAAGGUAUAA